GACGAACGCUGGCGGCGUGCUUAACACAUGCAAGUCGAACGGAAAGGCCCUGCUUUUGUGGGGUGCUCGAGUGGCGAACGGGUGAGUAACACGUGAGUAACCUGCCCUUGACUUUGGGGUAACUUCAGGAAACUGGGGCUAAUACCGGAUAGGAGCUCCUGCUGCAUGGGGGGGGUUGGAAAGUUUCGGCGGUUGGGGAUGGACUCGCGGCUUAUCAGCUUGUUGGUGGGGUAGUGGCUUACGAAGGCUUUGACGGGUAGCCGGCCUGAGAGGGUGACCGGCCACAUUGGGACUGAGAUACGGCCCAGACCCCUACAGGAGGCAGCAGUGGGGAAUAUUGCACAGUGGGCGGGAGCCUGAUGCAGCAACGCCGCGUGCGGGAUGACGGCCUUCGGGUUGUAAACCGCUUUCGCCUGUGACGAAGCGUGAGUGACGGUAAUGGGUAAAGAAGCACCGGCUAACUACGUG
rnacentral:rRNA from 1 species